UAGGGAAUCUUCGGCAAUGGGGGGAACCCUGACCGAGCAACGCCGCGUGAGUGAAGAAGGUUUUCGGAUCGUAAAGCUCUGUUGUUAAGGAAGAACGAGUGUGAGAAUGGAAAGUUCAUACUGUGACGGUACUUAACCAGAAAGGGACGGCUAACUACGUGCCAGCAGCCGCGGUAAUACGUAGGUCCCGAGCGUUGUCCGGAUUUAUUGGGCGUAAAGCGAGCGCAGGCGGUUAGAUAAGUCUGAAGUUAAAGGCAGUGGCUCAACCAUUGUAGGCUUUGGAAACUGUUUAACUGGAGUGCAGAAGGGGAGAGUGGAAUUCCAUGUGUAGCGGUGAAAUGCGUAGAUAUAUGGAGGAACACCGGUGGCGAAAGCGGCUCUCUGGUCUGUAACUGACGCUGAGGCUAGAAAGCGUGGGUAGCAAGCAGG
rnacentral:rRNA from 1 species